UGCUACGCAAGGAUCUCACGGAAAUGAUUCAGCAACAGAAUUUGAAAAUGACUCCAAGACACAGAUCUUGUAAAGAAGUGAAGGAAAGCUACCACCGAGAUUCCGCUCAGCUCCAUCAGGCUGAUCCACUUCAAAUGCCACGGAUAUUUUUGAAAAUAAAGUAAGUGGCUUGAUUUUUCAGAAUGAGCUAGAGGUGCUCAGCACUUUGGAAGAAACAGUAAUUCAUGUCAAAUUAAAAUGGUUUCAAAAUAUUAGUAAUCAUUUUACAUUUUGUAACGGUUAGGAAUGAGAAUUUGUUUAUGGGAAG
rnacentral:lncRNA from 1 species